CUUUAUCAAGAUGCACGUGAACUUCAGCUUUAGGAUGGGUGCUUUAUUGAGAGGGCAAGAUGGAGGAAGAGAAGGCUGUUGUGAAUCACUUAAUUAUGGAAAGACAGGGAGUGCUGACUUCAAUACGCUUCUGUUUCUUCUACAUAAACUCUCAUAAUCAUGGAGGAGGAAGGAUGGUCAGAAAAUGUAGCAUUAGUGAUUUGCUGAUUGUUCUAGCAUAACAAUUCUCAAAUAUUUUUAUCCUAUAAUCUUACCUUUGUACCUUAAACCAGUGUUUCUAAACUGUGUAAAGAUGGACCAAUUUUUUUAAAUUUCCAAUCCAUUGCAGACCAAUGCCUUUGUAAAAUACAGUUAAAAUGAAUUACUAGAAAAGCAAAAUGUUUAAAGCC
rnacentral:lncRNA from 1 species